rnacentral:rRNA from 1 species
ACUACGGGAGGCAGCAGUGAGGAAUAUUGGUCAAUGGGCGCAAGCCUGAACCAGCCACGCCGCGUGAGGGACGAAUGCUCUCUGGUUUGUAAGCCCUUUUUUUAAGGGAGGAAUAAAUGCUACGUGUAGCAUGAUGCCUGUACCUUAUGAAUAAGCAUCGGCUACCUCCGUGCCAGCAGCGGCGGUAAUACGGAGGAUGCGAGCGUGAUCAGGAUUUAUUGGGGUGAGAGGGUGCGUAGACGGUUUUAUAAGUUAGUGGUUAAACGUUGGGGCUUCACCUUGAUUUGCCUUUAAUACUGUAAGACUCGAGUGCAGAAGAGGUAGGCGGAAUAAGUUAAGUAGCGGUGAAAUGCGUAGAUAUAA